AUCAUCGAAUCUUUGAACGCACAUUGCGCCCUCUGGUAUUCCGGAGGGCAUGCCUGUUUGAGCGUCGUUU
rnacentral:rRNA from 1 species